rnacentral:rRNA from 1 species
AACGAACGCUGGCGGCAUGCUUAACACAUGCGAGUCGAACGAGACCUUCGGGUCUAGUGGCGCACGGGUGCGUAACGCGUGGGAACCUGCCCUUAGGUUCGGAAUAACUCCCCGAAAGGGGUGCUAAUACCGGAUAAUGUCUUCGGACCAAAGAUUUAUCGCCUUUGGAUGGGCCCGCGUUGGAUUAGCUAGUUGGUAGGGUAAAAGCCUACCAAGGCGACGAUCCAUAGCUGGUCUGAGAGGAUGAUCAGCCACACUGGGACUGAGACACGGCCCAGACUCCUACGGGAGGCAGCAGUGGGGAAUAUUGGACAAUGGGCGAAAGCCUGAUCCAGCAAUGCCGCGUGAGUGAUGAAGGCCUUAGGGUUGUAAAGCUCUUUUACCCGGGAUGAUAAUGACAGUACCGGGAGAAUAAGCGCCGGCUAACUCCGUG